rnacentral:rRNA from 1 species
GAUGAACGCUGGCGGCGUGCCUAACACAUGCAAGUCGAACGAACCUGAUUUUCGGAAAAGGUUAGUGGCGCACGGGAGAGUAACACGUAGGUGACCUGCCCUGGAGUUGGGGAUAACUUAUCGAAAGAGAGGUUAAUACCACAUACGCUCGGCCCUUCAGUCGUUCGAGUAAAGCACCGGCGCUCCAGGAGGGGCCUGCGUCCGAUUAGCUAGUUGGUGGGGUAAUGGCUCACCAAGGCGAUGAUCGGUAGCGGGUCUGAGAGGACGAUCAGCCACACUGGGACUGACACACGGGCCAGACUCCUACGGGAGGCAGCAGUGAGGAAUAUUGGUCAAUGGGCGAAAGCCUGAACCAGCAACGCCGCGUGAGGGAUGAAGGCCUUCGGGUCGUAAACCUCUUUUCUGGGAGAAGAGACAAGGACGGUAUCCCAGGAAUAAGUCUCGGCUAACUACGUGCCAGCAGCCGCCGUAAUAC